rnacentral:lncRNA from 1 species
UAAUAAGAAGUUUAAGAAUCAUGCAGAAAAAGGCCACAGGUGCCCUUUAUCAAAAGUCCCAGCUUAAAUUCCCUGUAGUUUUUAGACUCCUGACAGGCAAUGCAAAAAGGGCAACUCUGCACAACAGAUUAUACAAUUUUCAUGUGAUAAAAAAUAAUUAUAACAGUUUUAAGAGAGUUCUUCAGAUCUGAUUUGAUUAUUAAGAUUUGUGUGUGUAUGUGUGUGUGUGUGUGUGUGCGCACAACUUUAUAAGUAAAACAGUGAUACAUAAUGGAUCAAUUCUUUGGCAGGUUUCUUUUCCAAAUUGUGGAUCUCUCUGCUGUUACCAUUCUGAAUACCUCAGAAAGGGUGGUGGUACUAAAGAGGAUGUUUAUCAAUAUGGAGGCCUUGGGGAUGUGCAUUCAGAUUCCCCCUUAAGUGAAGCUCUCUGUCCAAAGGCAAGAAUUGGGGUGAAUUUAGAACCUCCAGAUGUACCUCAGCUCUUGAGCUUUUCCAGGGUGGCCCAUGGCCAAUUCUGGAACACAGCAGUGGUGCAAGGGCUGAGCAACGCUACCCAGCAUGAAAUUCUUUCAAUGGACCAUCUUUGCACUAGGCUCCCUGUGAGUUGGACAUUGACUUUGCCAGGUCUGUGCUGUGGUCAGAUUACCCCUCCCAAUUU